rnacentral:rRNA from 1 species
CAAGCAGUGGGAGCACGCUUAGGCGUGUGACUGCGUACCUUUUGUAUAAUGGGUCAGCGACUUAUAUUCUGUAGCAAGGUUAACCGAAUAGGGGAGCCGAAGGGAAACCGAGUCUUAACUGGGCGUUAAGUUGCAGGGUAUAGACCCGAAACCCGGUGAUCUAGCCAUGGGCAGGUUGAAGGUUGGGUAACACUAACUGGAGGACCGAACCGACUAAUGUUGAAAAAUUAGCGGAUGACUUGUGGCUGGGGGUGAAAGGCCAAUCAAACCGGGAGAUAGCUGGUUCUCCCCGAAAGCUAUUUAGGUAGCGCCUCGUGAAUUCAUCUCCGGGGGUAGAGCACUGUUUCGGCAAGGGGGUCAUCCCGACUUACCAACCCGAUGCAAACUGCGAAUACCGGAGAAUGUUAUCACGGGAGACACACGGCGGGUGCUAACGUCCGUCGUGAAGAGGGAAACAACCCAGACCGCCAGCUAAGGUCCCAAAGUCAUGGUUAAGUGGGAAACGAUGUGGGAAGGCCCAGACAGCCAGGAUGUUGGCUUAGAAGCAGCCAUCAUUUAAAGAAAGCGUAAUAGCUCACUGGUCGAGUCGGCCUGCGCGGAAGAUGUAACGGGGCUAAACCAUGCAC